rfam:Aedes aegypti strain Liverpool supercont1.2 genomic scaffold, whole genome shotgun sequence.
CCUCUCAUGGCGUAGUGGUUAACGCGCCCCAACUAGAGAUCGGGGAGUCGUGAGUUCGAUUCUCACUGAGAGGA